rnacentral:rRNA from 1 species
GAUGAACGCUAGCGACAGGCCUAACACAUGCAAGUCGAGGGGCAGCACAUGCGUAGCAAUACAAUGGUGGCGACCGGCGCACGGGUGAGUAACACGUAUGCAACCUACCUGUAAGAGGGGAAUAACCCGGAGAAAUUCGGACUAACACCGCAUAAUACCUCGAAGCUGCAUGGCUUUGAGGUUAAAUAUUUAUAGCUUACAGAUGGGCAUGCGUAACAUUAGAUAGUUGGUGAGGUAACGGCUCACCAAGUCAACGAUGUUUAGGGGUUCUGGGAGGAAGGUCCCCCACACUGGUACUGAGACACGGACCAGACACCUACGGGAGGCAGCAGUGAGGAAUAUUGGUCAAUGGGCGAGAGCCUGAACCAGCCGAGUCGCGUGAAGAAAGAAGGUUCUAUGGAUUGUAAACUUCUUUUGUAAGAGAAUAAAAAAGCUUACGUGUAGGCUAUUGUAUGUACUUUACGAAUAAGGAUCGGCUAACUCCGUGCCAGCCGCCGCCGUAACAC